GAUCAACAAGGCGCAUCUGCCACAGCUUUGAUUGCGCACUGCCAGAUUGCGAAAUCCGGAUCCGAUGAAGAAGACCGAGUUCAUCACUGACUUUGUCAUCGAUGUGAAGCUCAGGAGCAUUCGAGGUGCGUGAUGUUGUCGUUUUUUUUAUCACCUGGGUUGGUUCACUUCGCAUGUUUUCAUGCUGGGUUGCAAAAAUAAGAAUUGUACCAGCAGUGAGUGAGUGCCUUAUCGACUCAUCGGAUUCAUCCUCCGAACUUGACCGGUCACAUGAUAAGCAAACAAAAACCUGUGGAAUGUAAUGCUCAUGGUGAAUUGUGAGCUUUGUGGUGUGUGGUUUUUAAAGAUAGUUUUUGAAUUGCGUGCAUCGUGGUGCAGAUUAGGACGAAUGUGUUGUUGUAUGUCUUAUUGCUCCAGUAAGAGUAGAGAGUGGUAUCUAUCGACAUAACUGUGCUUUUCAGGUUGUUUGACAAUACAUAGUAAGGAGCAGAAAAGGAUGGCAGACAAUUGGAUUACUCCCGUUUCAUGUAUCGGGUCUGCUUGUUGCGAUCAAGUAGCAACACAGUACUUGUACGUAAAUGAAGCUCGGGCGUGCUCUCUGGCGUGUUGAACCAGGUGUUAACAAUGUUUCGAAAUUGGGGAUUACGAAUGGGAAUUUGUGACUUGCUCGCUUUAUGUUGAAUGUAGAGAAACGAAUUUGGUGAUCCAAGAUGAUUAAUCCAACCUUCGGAGGAAUGGAACACGUGACAUCACUCAAUGGUGCUACAAAAACGACCUUUACAAAAAUAAAAGUAAAAGCAAAUGGAUGGAACACAGUACUUCUCCCCUUGAUGGAAGGCAGCUGCAAAGAAGAAGUCGGAGCAGACUGCAAUAUUUUCAGCUCUGGAGGAAAAAUCUGACACGUCCGAUCUAGCAUUCUUGAAGGAUCCAAGGCCUGAAACUAAAGUAAAUCCGUUGACAAAAGAGAAAGAGAGAGGUCUGGCUAGAUUGGUUUGAAUGGCUGC